rnacentral:rRNA from 1 species
AUAUACGUUUAGAUGCUGGAUGCUUCUAAGCUGAAAGUUCCGGCGCCCAAGGAUGAGUCUGCGGCCUAUCAGGUAGUAGUGGGUGUAACGGACCCACUAGCCAAAGACGGGUACGGGCCUUGAGAGAGGUAGCCCGGAGAUGGACUCUGAGACACGAGUCCAGGCCCUACGGGGCGCAGCAGGCGCGAAAACUUCACAAUGCAGGAAACUGCGAUGAGGGGAUUCCAAGUGCAUGUGCAUUGCAUAUGCUUUUCGUAUACCUAAAAAGUAUUCGGAAUAAGGGCUGGGUAAGACGGGUGCCAGCCGCCGCGGUAAUACCCGCAGCCCUAGUGGUGAUCGUUUUUAUUGAGCCUAAAGCGUCCGUAGCCGGCCUAUUAAAUCCUUGAGUAAAUCGGGCAGCUCAACUGUUCGAAGUUCGAGGAGACUGGUAGGCUUGGGACCGGAAGAGGUCAGAGGUACUUCAGGGGUAGGGGUGAAAUCCUGUAAUCCUUGAAGGACCACCGGUGGCGAAGGCGUCUGACUGGGACGGCUCCGACGGUGAGGGACGAAGCCCUGGGGCGCAAACCGGAUUAGAUACCCGGGUAGUCCAGUGGUGUAAACGCUGCAGACUUGGUGUUAGGGAUCCUACGUGGGUGCCUAGUGCCGGAGAG